rnacentral:rRNA from 1 species
CCUACGGGCGGCAGCAGUGGGGAAUAUUGCACAAUGGGGGAAACCCUGAUGCAGCGACGCCGCGUGAGUGAAGAAGUAAUUCGGUAUGUAAAGCUCUAUCAGCAGGGAAGAAAAUGACGGUACCUGAGUAAGAAGCCACGGCUAACUACGUGCCAGCAGCCGCGGUAAUACGUAGGGGGCAGGCGUUAUCCGGAUUUACUGGGUGUAAAGGGAGCGUAGAAGGCAGGUCAAGUCUGGAGUGAAAGGUGUGGGCUCAACCCCCGGAGUGCUGUGGAAACUGUACGGCUGGAGUGCAGGAGAGGUAAGUGGAAUUCGUAGUGGAGCGGUGAAAUGCGGAGAUAUUAGGAGGAACACCAGUGGCGAAGGCGGCUUACUGGACUGUAACUGACGUUGAGGCUCGAAAGCGUGGGGAGCAAACAGGAUUAGAUACCCCUGUAGUC